UUAUGCUAAUACAAAUAUUACUGCAAUGUUUAACCCUGACAUACUUGUGAAAGCAUAUCUGUAGGAUCAGUUCCUAGCAGUACAGUAGGUGUGUCAAUGGUAUGUGCAUUUUUUAUUUAACUAGGUUGUGCCAUCUCUUCCUCUUAAAGAAUAUCUCAUCAAUAGUGAAGGAGAACGUCUCUUUCCACACAUCCUGAUAUUAUGGAAAUUUAAAAAUUUUGCCCAUGUGAUGGGUUAAAAUGAAAUAGGCUUCUUGAUGAAUCAUAAAUAAUUGCCCAACUGAAGAGCACUGAGGAAAGCUUAUAACAGAGAAAACUGCAUUUAUUGACAU